rnacentral:rRNA from 1 species
CCUACGGGAGGCAGCAGUGGGGAAUAUUGGACAAUGGGGGCAACCCUGAUCCAGCCAUGCCGCGUGUGUGAAGAAGGCCCUCGGGUUGUAAAGCACUUUCAGUGAGGAAGAACGCCUGGUGGUUAAUACCCAUCAGGAAAGACAUCACUCACAGAAGAAGCACCGGCUAACUCCGUGCCAGCAGCCGCGGUAAUAUGGAGGGUGCGAGCGUUAAUCGGAAUUACUGGGCGUAAAGCGCGCGUAGGUGGCUUGAUAAGCCGGUUGUGAAAGCCCCGGGCUCAACCUGGGAACGGCAUCCGGAACUGUCAAGCUAGAGUGCAGGAGAGGAAGGUAGAAUUCCCGGUGUAGCGGUGAAAUGCGUAGAGAUCGGGAGGAAUACCAGUGGCGAAGGCGGCCUUCUGGACUGACACUGACACUGAGGUGCGAAAGCGUGGGUAGCAAACAGGAUUAGAUACCCCAGUAGUC